rnacentral:tRNA from 1 species
GGUAGGGUGGCCGAGCGGUCCAAGGCGCUGGUUUUAAGCACCAGUCUCUUCGGAGGCGCGGGUUCAAAUCCCGCCCCUGCCA